CCUGGCACCAAUCUGGGCGCCCCUGAGUGCAGUGUCCUGUCUGUCCCUGCAUGACCCUCAGCCUGUCUGAGACGCCUCACAGAGAGACGCCCUGGCGUACCCCACAGGGAGGCCAGCCUGGAAGCUUCUCUGGAAAGUGAGCUUUGGCAGCUCGAGGCAGAGCAGUGGCUGACUCCUCCCUCGGUUAACACAGCCUGGCCCCAGCUGGGGUUCGCUUUGAGGCCCUGGGGCUCGCCCUGUUUCCUGCCAGGGGAGUGGGGCCCGAAGUUCCAUCCCAUCCCCCAAAACUCAGAUGUGGAAGCCCUAACCCCAGCGUGGCUGUACGUGGACAUGGGGCCUCUACGGAUUAAGGGCUGGGACUAACUGCGGAACCUCGUGUGACACCUAAGCCUGCGUGUCCUCACGCCCCAGCCUAGGGGCAGCCGUGGCUCCCCCAAGACGCAGAGGCUGGCUCCAACAUGGAUGGAGACAAACUCAGAAGGAACUGUCGACAGAGGCACCCAUAUGCUGGACUCAAGCAACGGGGCCCUCCGCUUCAACUGUAACCGACCACAGGUGGGAUCCAGUGCCCAGGACACUGUGUCUCAGGGUCUGUGACCACACAAAUGGGAACUGCUUGUGAAACCCCAGCCCAACCUCACUGCGGAAUGGCAGUGCGGAAAGGGUGGAGGCUCUGCAGGCAGACACAGGACACAGAUCUACGGGGCGUGUGUUCAAGGGUCCAGAGACACCCAGCAAAAUACCAACUGUGUCAGUCCAUGUCAACGGAGAACGCAGGUGCAGGGGGCGGGGGCUGAUUCAUACUCAUUCUCUUUAUUCCUCCCAGCAGCCCCAAGAGAAAGCAGCUGGGAAAAAGGCUCAGUCAGUGAUUUCCCCAAGAUCACACAGCACAAGAACAAAGCCUGGGUCAGCCAGUCUUAAAACCUGUGGGCCAGGCUGCCGUCACUUGCUCCCAAAUGCUGACAGGGGACACAUCUGAGUGAUGGGGUUACAAGGUUUGUUUUCCACGCUUAUCUGAUCUUCUUUAAAAAGCAGACAGACACACGGAGACAAUCCCACGCCUGCCCACGGAAUGAUGAAUAAAUCACAGCAGGACCAGGAGCAUGGCCCCGUCGGGGGAGGGUGGGGAGCGACAGCCACGGGACUCUGACAGACCCAGGGUGAGAUGGCGCAAGGGAGGUCAGCUUGGCAGCACGGCCCCUGCUGGGCCUGGAAUGUCCCACAUGCCCCCAGGUGAGGUUACAACACGAGGUGGGCACUCAAGCCUCACAGACAUCACAGCGUAAAAAAAGAACAACUGCCAGAUAAUUGCCAGAGCCCCUCCCAGUGGUGGCCACGCUGUCCCAUGGGAGCACUCCUGCCCCCUCUGGGUAGGAUUUCACUUGCUGGGUAAUUUUCCCGGAGGGGAAAUCUCCACGUUGCACAGUACUUCAGAGCUGCAGACUGGGAGGCAACCGGGGACUGGGACCUCAUGCCCUGUGAGGGACACACAGCCUCGAGGGGCUGCCGGUGGGGCCUGGGGCACGUACUCACCCUUCCCGAUCUGGACGAAGCCCAGCAGGAUGAUCAGGGCCAGGGCCAGGAGCUUGGCAGCAGCAAAGGCAUCCUGGACCCGGGUAGCGGCCUUCACGCUGUAGCAGUUCACGGCCGUGAGCAGCACUGUGGAGACAAGAGGGUGGCAGUGAGUUUCACGGGCAGAUGCCAGCUCUGGGGGAGGUCAGGAUGUGAUGACCCCAAGCCCACCCCAGGGCCAGGGCUGGGUCCACCAAAAAAACAAGCUCCUUAAACAGCUCCAGUCCCGUGCCAGACCCGAGGGCAGGUUCUGACUUUCUGGGACCUGUCUUGGUAAACCAGGUGCCCCUCAAGGGUUGUAAGGGACUUUUCCUCACCCCGCCCCCCGCCAACACCAGGCCACAGAGUCCCACCUACAGCCAGGGCUGAGUGGGGUCGCUGCCUCCAGAGACCCAGCUGAGCAAGGUGACCCUGCCGCUUGGAAGGUGCCCAUUACACCUUUUUGUGCCCACUUAGCACCCUGACGUGCCUGCCUGGGAGACCACCGCACAGCCCGGCUGCCAGACUCCACGAGGCCGGGGCCCUUUCCUCAGAGAGGAUCUUCUGUGGAUUCCAACAGAAGCGGGUUGUCCCGCUAUCCUGGAACUACCUGGCCAGUCACCUGGGGACGGCGGGGCACUGGCGCAGCCUGGCAGGGGCCACAGGGGCCUGUGGUGAGCAGAGCUGACCCUGCUGCCCUGUUGCUUUGGGGGCAUACGAUGAAACCCAAAAUAGCACCAUGUGCUUCAGAAGCCUGAGUGACUCCACACAGAUGGCCGGGACCCCUGCCCCAGAAGGCGCUGAGAUGUGCGGUCAGGCACGCUCAGACAGGUCUCCAGACACCAGCAAGUCCUCCUGGGCCCUAUAAGGCACCCAGCUCUGAGCCAGAGUGUGUGCGUGCGUGUGUGUGUGUGUCGGGGGUUUCUGUGGCAAUAUGUGGGCAGGCUGAGCCGCUAUUCGGGAUCUGUGAGCUGGUGGGGAAACAGCCACCCCCACAACUUAAAAUGAAGUAAAAGCCUAUUAACCCUGAGGCACUGACUCCCCGUCUCCCUCACUGCCUGCUGCACUACCCUUCACCCCUCUGUGCCCACAAGGUGAUUCGUAGCUGUUAGGAGCUUGAAAUCUGCCAGUGGGAACCUCUACACCCCAGAAGUGGGCACAGGCCCGGCCCGGGCCACCCGCACAGCGCGGCUCUCGCGGCCCUCCCGGCACCGCACUGCUCAGACUGUGGGAAGGUGAGAGCGUCGGAAAGGCCGCAGGCUCUUCUCUCUUUCCCCAUGGGAGUAACGCUCAGAAAGGUCUGGCCAGCCGAGGUCUUGGGGGCUCCAGUGGCUUUUCCCCGGCUGAACAAAUCCUGUGGAAUUUCAGAAUUUCAGCAACAGACCCCAGGAAAGAUAUCCACGCUAACUAACUGAUGACCCCAGCCAGCAAACAGACGGGAAACGUCCUGAGGUGCGGGCCGGGCCGCCCGCCUGCCUGCCUAUCUCUCCGAAAUUAACCACCCCAUUACAACUGGGUGGACGCCAGCGUGGAGAUGGCUACGACACGCCAGGAAAGUCUGGUUGAAAAAUGUCUGAAAGUCAGUGUUUUUGCUGCUAUUCCUAAAAUACUUGAAAUUCCCUUCCACUCCUCAUCCAAAGAGAAGAGGUGAAGAGUGGGAAACUCCCUUUUCCGAGGGCUCCCAGGGCCAUGGAGAUGUUACCAGUCCAGAGCUCUCCAGUCUAACCCUCCGGGCCCAGCAGGGUUGGGUCAGUGCGUCUAGGCAGCUCCUUCUCUGCCGCACAGGGUGAGGGGGCAGGUCCUGACCUGACACUCCCAUUUCCUCACGGUGUGCGUGUGUGUGGGGAGGUGUCCAUAAAAGAAACUGGGCCUCGGGGACCUUGCGGGCAAGCCAGGGAUUUCCGGAUUUGCAAGAGGCCGGCUGAUUGCAUCACUCGCUCAUUGAUGCCGGGAGGGAGGCGGGAGUAGGCGUGGCCAAGCUGCACUCAGGCCUUUCCCCAAAAGGGACACGCGGCACGCUGCCACCACUGAACUCCAGAAGCCAGACAGGCGCUGCCGGACACUGAGCACGGCCCCCGUGGCUAUCAUGUCUGCUGGGGGUUGGGGGGUUCAGGAAAGGCAGCGAUUUGCCCAGAAGUGCCCAACCAGCCACCAGGGCUGUCACUGUGGGUGGCACAGAGGCCAGGGCCCCCCUGCCAGCCUGACGCUGUCUGCCCAAAUCCAACCCAGCUGCUCCCCAACCAAAACCAGUCCUGAGGGGCCGGCGGGUGCCCUGGAUCAUCUCCUGACAUUAAAAAUAACCACAGGGCAGACAGGCGGGGCUGCGUUUUGGAAGUCAGGUGGGGAGCAAAAUGGCCACAGAACAAAGGGGACCUUACCAUAUUUAUUCCUUUUAUAACAAGAACAUAAAUAUUAAUGUUCACUGACUCUGAGUGAUGAGUAAAAACAAAGGCUUCAU